rnacentral:rRNA from 1 species
GAUGAACGCUGGCGGCGUGCCUAAUACAUGCAAGUCGAGCGAACAGACGAGGAGCUUGCUCCUUCGACGUUAGCGGCGGACGGGUGAGUAACACGUAGGUAACCUACCUAUAAGACUGGGAUAACUUCGGGAAACCGGAGCUAAUACCGGAUAAUAUUUCGAACCGCAUGGUUCGAUAGUGAAAGAUGGCUUUGCUAUCACUUAUAGAUGGACCUGCGCCGUAUUAGCUAGUUGGUAAGGUAACGGCUUACCAAGGCAACGAUACGUAGCCGACCUGAGAGGGUGAUCGGCCACACUGGAUCUGAGCCCCGGUCCAGACUCCUCCGGGAGGCAGCAGUCGGGACUCUUCCGCAAUGGGCGAAAGCCUGACGGAGCAACGCCGCGUGAGUGAUGAAGGUCUUCGGAUCGUAAACCUCUGUUAUUAGGGAAGAACAAACGUGUAAGUAACUGUGCACGUCUUGACGGUACCUAAUCAGAAAGCCACGGCUAACUACGUG